rnacentral:rRNA from 1 species
GUGGGGAAUUUUGGACAAUGGGCGAAAGCCUGAUCCAGCAAUGCCGCGUGCAGGAUGAAGGCCCUCGGGUUGUAAACUGCUUUUGUACGGAACGAAAAGCCUGGGGCUAAUAUCCCCGGGUCAUGACGGUACCGUAAGAAUAAGCACCGGCUAACUACGUGCCAGCAGCCGCGGUAAUACGUAGGGUGCAAGCGUUAAUCGGAAUUACUGGGCGUAAAGCGUGCGCAGGCGGUUUUGUAAGACAGUGGUGAAAUCCCCGGGCUCAACCUGGGAACUGCCAUUGUGACUGCAAGGCUAGAGUGCGGCAGAGGGGGAUGGAAUUCCGCGUGUAGCAGUGAAAUGCGUAGAUAUGCGGAGGAACACCGAUGGCGAAGGCAAUCCCCUGGGCCUGCACUGACGCUCAUGCACGAAAGCGUGGGGAGCAAACAGGAUUAGAAACCCUUGUAGUCC